UAAGAUUGCACUUGCAGGAGCCAUAGACAUACAGAGAGAUAGAGGAGAAAGUGGGAUAGCCAUUAAAAAAUGGUUUUUCAUUGAGUUUACUACAUUUUUUAAUGCGAUUUUAUAUGGAGGAAAUGUGACCGUUGCGGUCACUGAGAGAAUCGAGAAGACAAAGAGAAAGAUAGUGGUCAGAUCAUCAGACUCAGUACAGACGUUUCUCAACGUUAUUACAGUUGAAACGUCGAA
rnacentral:lncRNA from 1 species